ACUUGAGUGGCGAACGGGUGAGUAACACGUGGGUGAUCUGCCCUGCACUUCGGGAUAAGCCUGGGAAACUGGGUCUAAUACCGGAUAGGAGCCAUUUUUAGUGUGAUGGUUGGAAAGUUUUUCGGUGUAGGAUGAGCUCGCGGCCUAUCAGCUUGUUGGUGGGGUAAUGGCCUACCAAGGCGGCGACGGGUAGCCGGCCUGAGAGGGUGGACGGCCACAUUGGGACUGAGAUACGGCCCAG
rnacentral:rRNA from 1 species